UAAGUGGUGGAAAUUAAACCAAAUGGGAUAUCUUUAGUAAUUGCGAAUGAACAAGGAUAUGCUUAGCUUGACAAAUGGAGCUAUUGGCUUUGAAUUGUAUUGUGGAAAUGUAUUACCAACAGAGGUGCAGGUGCCAGCCUAUUGAAAUAAAGCGUCAAUGAGGGUGAGAAUCCUGUUUGUCAUGUGCAGCCCUUUGUGCACGGUGUAUAUUUGCUGAGUCACACUCCUUGGCAUUGGAAUGCAAAGUGGGUGGUAAGUUUCAUGUAAAGGUAAACAUGCAAUUGAGACUGAUAGCACACAAGUACCAUGAGGGAAAUAUGAAAAGGACUUUGAAAAGAGAAUUAAAUGAGUUUGUAUUUGCUGAACACAAAGUAAACAGACUUGAUUUGCUUGGUGGGAGUGUUGCACUUGCUUGACAAGAGCUUUGGGCUGUGGGUGUAAUGAUUCUUUCUUUGCAUGCCAGUUUCUAUUUGUACAUCUGAUUACCUUUGCACAUGAAUGAUAAGUCUCCUGUGGGGGGUGGAUUGCAUGUGCAUGUAAUGAUUUGUGUUUUGAUAAAUGUGUCUGGUGUAUGUGUGUGUUCUUGUGCUUGGGGAUGCUUCCUUCCUUGGACUUACAAGCCCUGACACACACAUGCUGGCAAAAUGCUUCUGCUUGACCCG
rnacentral:rRNA from 1 species